rnacentral:tRNA from 1 species
AUCUAGAUAGUUUAAUAAGAAUACUGAUUUGUGGCAUCAGAGAUAUAAUAAUAUGUUAUUUUAGAUC